GUGCUGCAUGGUGUCGUCAGCUCGUGCCGUGAGGUGUCGGCUUAAGUGCCAUAACGAGCGCAACCCUCGCCUCCCAGUUGCCAUCGGGUGAUGCCGGGCACUCUGGAGGGACUGCCGCCGUAAGGUGCGAGGAAGGCGGGGAUGACGUCAAAUCAGCACGGCCCUUACGUCCGGGGCUACACACGUGUUACAAUGGGGGGCACAGCGGGACGCCACCGCGCGAGCGGGCGCCGAUCCUGAAACCCUCCCGUAGUUCGGAUUGGGGUCUGCAACCCGACCCCAUGAAGCUGGAUUCGCUAGUAAUCGCGCAUCAGCCAUGGCGCGGUGAAUACGUUCCCGGGCCUUGUACACACCGCCCGUCAAGCCAUGAAAGCCGGGAGUACCUGAAGUGCGUAACCGCGAGGAGCGCCCUAGGGCAAGACCGGUGAUGGGGCUAAGUCGUAACAAGGUAACCUA
rnacentral:rRNA from 1 species